AGAGUUUGAUUCUGGCUCAGGAUGAACGCUGGCGGCAUGCCUAAUACAUGCAAGUCGAACGAAGUGAGGAUAGCUUGCUAUUGGAACUUAGUGGCGAACGGGUGAGUAACACGUAGAUAACCUGCCUGUAUGACCGGGAUAACAGUUGGAAACGACUGCUAAUACCGGAUAGGCAGAGAGGAGGCAUCUCUUCUCCGUUAAAGUUGGGACACAACGCAAACAGAUGGAUCUGCGGUGCAUUAGCUAGUUGGUGAGGUAACGGCCCACCAAGGCGAUGAUGCAUAGCCGGCCUGAGAGGGCGAACGGCCACAUUGGGACUGAGACACGGCCCAAACUCCUACGGGAGGCAGCAGUAGGGAAUUUUCGGCAAUGGGGGAAACCCUGACCGAGCAAUGCCGCGUGAGUGAAGACGGCCUUCGGGUUGUAAAGCUCUGUUGUAAGGGAAGAACGGCAUAGAGAGGGAAUGCUCUAUGAGUGACGGUACCUUACCAGAAAGCCACGGCUAACUACAUGCCAGCAGCCGCGGUAAUACGUAGGUGGCAAGCGUUAUCCGGAAUUAUUGGGCGUAAAGGGUGCGUAGGCGGCGAGAUAAGUCUGAGGUAAAAGCCCGUGGCUCAACCACGGUAAGCCUUGGAAACUGUCUGGCUGGAGUGCAGGAGAGGACAAUGGAAUUCCAUGUGUAGCGGUAAAAUGCGUAGAUAUAUGGAGGAACACCAGUGGCGAAGGCGGUUGUCUGGCCUGUAACUGACGCUGAAGCACGAAAGCGUGGGGAGCAAAUAGGAUUAGAUACCCUAGUAGUCCACGCCGU
rnacentral:rRNA from 1 species